AGAGUUUGAUCCUGGCUCAGGAUGAACGCUGGCGGCGUGCCUAACACAUGCAAGUCGAGCGGGAAAUGGAAUUCAGAUGCUUCGGUUGACGAAUGCCAUGGAGAGCGGCGGACGGGUGAGUAACGCGUCGGCAACCUGCCCCUCACAGGGAGAUAGCCGAGGGAAACUUCGAGUAAUAUCCCAUGAUGCCUUGUGAUCACAUGAUCGAAAGGCCAAAGAUUUAUCGGUGAGGGAUGGGCCCGCGUCCGAUUAGCCAGUUGGCAGGGUAGCGGCCUACCAAAGCGACGAUCGGUAGCCGGCCUGAGAGGGCGGACGGCCACAUUGGAACUGAGACACGGUCCAGACUCCUACGGGAGGCAGCAGUGGGGGAUAUUGCACAAUGGAGGAAACUCUGAUGCAGCAACGCCGCGUGAAGGAGGAGGGCCUUCGGGUCGUAAACUUCUGUCCUCAAGGAAGAAAAAAAUGACGGUACCUGAGGAGGAAGCCCCGGCUAACUACGUGCCAGCAGCCGCGGUAACACGUAGGGGGCGAGCGUUAUCCGGAAUUACUGGGCGUAAAGAGUGCGUAGGUGGCUGAGCAAGCGCGGGGUUUAAUUUCACGGCCCAACCGUGAACCGCCCUGCGAACUGUUCAGCUUGAGUACAGGAGAGGAAGGCGGAAUUCCUAGUGUAGCGGUGAAAUGCGUAGAUAUUAGGAGGAACACCGGUGGCGAAAGGCGGCCUUCUGGACUGAAACUGACACUGAGGCACGAAAGCGUGGGUAGCAAACAGGAUUAGAUACCCUGGUAGUCCACGCCGUAAACGAUGAGCACUAGGUGUCGGGCUCGAGAGAGUUCGGUGCCGGAGCAAACGCAUUAAGUGCUCCGCCUGGGGAGUACGCACGCAAGUGUAAAACUCAAAGGAAUUGACGGGGACCCGCACAAGCAGCGGAGCAUGUGGUUUAAUUCGAAGCAACGCGAAGAACCUUACCAGAGCUUGACAUCCUCCUGACCGGGGAAGUAAUGUUCCCCUUCUCUUCGGAGCAGGAGUGACAGGUGGUGCAUGGUUGUCGUCAGCUCGUGUCGUGAGAUGUUGGGUCAAGUCCCGCAACGAGCGCAACCCUUGCUGUCAGUUGCCAUCAUUAAGUUGGGCACUCUGACGGGACUGCCGGGGAUAACCCGGAGGAAGGCGGGGAUGACGUCAAAUCAUCAUGCCCCUUAUGUUCUGGGCGACACACGUGCUACAAUGGCCGGCACAGAGGGAAGCGAAAGAGCGAUCUCAAGCAAACCCCUAAAGCCGGUCCCAGUUCGGACUGCAGGCUGAAACCCGCCUGCACGAAGUCGGAGUUGCUAGUAAUCGCGGAUCAGAAUGCCGCGGUGAAUGCGUUCCCGGGUCUUGUACACACCGCCCGUCACACCAUGGAAGCCGGGGGUGCCCGAAGUCGGACAAUGUCUGCCUAAGGCAAAACCGGUGACUGGGGUGAAGUCGUAACAAGGUAGCCGUAUGAGAACGUGCGGCUGGAUCACCUCCUU
rnacentral:rRNA from 1 species